rnacentral:rRNA from 1 species
UNUGAUUAUUAAAGAAUUUCGGUUAUCGAUGGGGAUGCGUUCCAUUAGGCAGUUGGUGAGGUAACGGCUCACCAAACCUUCGAUGGAUAGGGGUUCUGAGAGGAAGGUCCCCCACAUUGGAACUGAGACACGGUCCAAACUCCUACGGGAGGCAGCAGUGAGGAAUAUUGGUCAAUGGACGAGAGUCUGAACCAGCCAAGUAGCGUGAAGGAUGACUGCCCUAUGGGUUGUAAACUUCUUUUAUAUGGGAAUAAAGUUUUCCACGUGUGGAAUUUUGUAUGUACCAUAUGAAUAAGGAUCGGCUAACUCCGUGCCAGCAGCCGCGGUAAUACGGAGGAUCCGAGCGUUAUCCGGAUUUAUUGGGUUUAAAGGGAGCGUAGGUGGACAGUUAAGUCAGUUGUGAAAGUUUGCGGCUCAACCGUAAAAUUGCAGUUGAUACUGGCUGUCUUGAGUACAGUAGAGGUGGGCGGAAUUCGUGGUGUAGCGGUGAAAUGCUUAGAUAUCACGAAGAACUCCGAUUGCGAAGGCAGCUCACUGGACUGCAACUGACACUGAUGCUCGAAAGUGUGGGUAUCAAACAGGAUUAGAUACCCUGGUAGUCCACACAGUAAACGAUGAAUACUCGCUGUUUGCGAUAUACAGUAAGCGGCCAAGCGAAAGCAUUAAGUAUUCCACCUGGGGAGUACGCCGGCAACGGUGAAACUCAAAGGAAUUGACGGGGGCCCGCACAAGCGGAGGAACAUGUGGUUUAAUUCGAUGAUACGCGAGGAACCUUACCCGGGCUUAAAUUGCAAAUGAAUAAUCUGGAAACAGGUUAGCCGCAAGGCAUUUGUGAAGGUGCUGCAUGGUUGUCGUCAGCUCGUGCCGUGAGGUGUCGGCUUAAGUGCCAUAACGAGCGCAACCCUUAUCUUUAGUUACUAACAGGUCAUGCUGAGGACUCUAGAGAGACUGCCGUCGUAAGAUGUGAGGAAGGUGGGGAUGACGUCAAAUCAGCACGGCCCUUACGUCCGGGGCUACACACGUGUUACAAUGGGGGGUACAGAAGGCAGCUACCUGGUGACAGGAUGCUAAUCCCA